AUUCAGCUGAUGAGUCCCACAAAGAACGAAACGUACGUCCUAGAU
rnacentral:hammerhead_ribozyme from 1 species